UACGUAGGGCGCAAGCGUUAUCCGGAAUUAUUGGGCGUAAAGAGCUCGUAGGCGGUUUGUCGCGUCUGCCGUGAAAGUCCGGGGCUCAACUCCGGAUCUGCGGUGGGUACGGGCAGACUAGAGUGAUGUAGGGGAGACUGGAAUUCCUGGUGUAGCGGUGAAAUGCGCAGAUAUCGGGAGGAACACCCGUAGCGAAGGCGGCACUCUGGGCCGGUACGUGACGCUGAGGAGCGGAAAGCGUGGGGAGCAAAC
rnacentral:rRNA from 1 species